GGCUUAGUGGUGGGGUGACUGCGUACCUUUUGUAUAAUGGGUCAGCGACUUAUAUUCUGUAGCAAGGUUAACCGAAUAGGGGAGCCGGAGGGAAACCGAGUCUUAAUUGGGCGUUAAGUUGCAGGGUAUAGACCCGAAACCCGGUGAUCUAGCCAUGGGCAGGUUGAAGGUUGGGUAACACUAACUGGAGGACCGAACCGACUAAUGUUGAAAAAUUAGCGGAUGACCUGUGGCUGGGGGUGAAAGGCCAAUCAAACCGGGAGAUAGCUGGUUCUCCCCGAAAGCUAUUUAGGUAGCGCCUCGUGAAUUCAUCUCCGGGGGUAGAGCACUGUUUCGGCUAGGGGGCCAUCCCGGCUUACCAACCCGAUGCAAACUGCGAAUACCGGAGAAUGUUAUCACGGGAGACACACGGCGGGUGCUAACGUCCGUCGUGAAGAGGGAAACAACCCAGACCGCCAGCUAAGGUCCCAAAGUCAUGGUUAAGUGGGAAACGAUGUGGGAAGGCCCAGACAGCCAGGAUGUUGGCUUAGAAGCAGCCAUCAUUUAAAGAAAGCGUAAUAGCUCACUGGUCGAGUCGGCCUGCGCGGAAGAUGUAACGGGGCUAAACCAUGCACCGAAGCUGCGGCAGC
rnacentral:rRNA from 1 species